UAUAAGGCAGAUAUUUAUGUGGCAUAAUGGUCAGACUUAAAACCAUGCAUUUUUUGUUUGGAACUGAACAGUUACUUAGAGGAUUGGAUCUAUGCAAGCAGACACAAAUCACAGAAUGAGGCUAGGGAAAGCAACAUAUUGAACAUCUCAUUUGCCAUUUAAUGAUGCUUCCUGGAAAUGACAGAAGGCCCACUUGGCAAUAGAGAUUGUUAAUGCUGGCACGGGGAAAAGGAAAUGCCGCACUGGUGAACGAACAGACCAUUCCUGUGAGGUGGAAUUAACAGAACCA